GAUGAACGCUGGCGGCGCGCCUAACACAUGCAAGUCGAACGAUUAAAGCACCUUCGGGUGUGUAUAAAGUGGCGAACGGCUGAGUAACACGUGGGCAACCUGCCCCUUUCAUUGGGAUAGCCACGGGAAACCGUGGAUAAUACCGAAUACUUCGAGACUUCCGCAUGGAAGACUCGAGAAAGCUCCGGCGGAGAGGGAUGGGCCCGCGGCCUGUUAGCUUGUUGGUGGGGUAACGGCCUACCAAGGCAAUGAUGGGUAGCUGGGUUGAGAGACCGACCAGCCAGAUUGGGACUGACACACGGCCCAGACUCCUACGGGAGGCAGCAGUGGGGAAUCUUGCACAAUGGGCGAAAGCCUGAUGCAGCGACGCCGCGUGCGGGAUGAAGGCCUUCGGGUUGUAAACCGCUUUCAGCAGGGACGAGGCGAAAGUGACGGUACCUGCAGAAGAAGCCCCGGCUAACUACGUG
rnacentral:rRNA from 1 species